UACGUAGGGCGCAAGCGUUGUCCGGAAUUAUUGGGCGUAAAGAGCUCGUAGGCGGUUCGGCAAGUCGGAUGUGAAAUCUCCACGCUUAACGUGGAGGGGCCAUUCGAAACUGCCGUGACUCGAGUCCGGUAGGGGAGUGCGGAAUUCCCGGUGUAGCGGUGAAAUGCGCAGAUAUCGGGAGGAACACCAGUGGCGAAGGCGGCACUCUGGGCCGGAACUGACGCUGAGGAGCGAAAGCGUGGGGAGCGAACAGG
rnacentral:rRNA from 1 species